AAACUGAGGAUAAUACCCUAUAGGCAUCCNUUGCUGGAAUGCUUGGAUGUUCAAAGGCAACNCCUGAGGAUAGNUCUGCGNCCUAUCAGGUUGUAGUGGGUGUAAUGGACCCACUAGCCCGCGACNGGUACGGCCCUUGAAAGAGGUAGCCCGGAGAUGGACUCUGAGACACGAGUCCAGGCCCUACGGGGCGCAGCAGGCGCGAAAACUUCGCAAUGCGGGAAACCGUGACGAGGGAAUCCCGAGUGCUCAUACAAUGUAUGGGCUUUUCUGAUGUGUAAAAAGCAUUAGGAAUAAGGGCUGGGUAAGACCGGUGCCAGCCGCCGCGGUAAUACCGGCAGCUCUAGUGGUAGCCACUUUUAUUGGGCCUAAAGCGUCCGUAGCCGGUCGGGUAAAUCCUUGGGUAAAUCGUACAGCUUAACUGUGCGGCUUCCGGGGAGACUGCCCGACUUGGGACCGGGAGAGGUUGGAGGUACUCCUGGGGUAGGGGUGAAAUCCUGUAAUCCUAGGUGGACCACCGGUGGCGAAGGCGUCCAACCAGAACGGCUCCGACGGUGAGGGACGAAGGCUAGGGGCGCAAACCGGAUUAGAUACCCGGGUAGUCCUAGCUGUAAACGCUGCAGACUUGGUGUUGGAGAUCCCACGAGGGUGUCCAGUGCCGGAGAGAAGUUGUUAAGUUUGCCGCCUGGGAAGUAUGGCCGCAAGGCUGAAACUUAAAGGAAUUGGCGGGGAGCAC
rnacentral:rRNA from 1 species